rnacentral:tRNA from 1 species
CUGGGGUUGGCCGAGUGGUUAAGGCGUUGGACUUAAGUUCCAAUGGACAAGUGUUCGCGUGGGUUCGAACCCCACACCUCAGU